ACUCUUGUUUCUCUUUAGAUCGUAUAAAUCUUUCGCCUUUUACUAAAGAUUUCCGUGGAGAGGAGAAAAAAAAACAAAUCUACUCAGAAAAUC
rnacentral:snRNA from 1 species